AUGCACGCUGGCGGCGUGCCUCAUCCAUGCAAGUCGCGCGAACAGAUAAGGAGCUUGCUCCUUUGACGUUAGCGGCGGACGGGUGAGUAACACGUGGGUAACCUACCUAUAAGACUGGAAUAACUCCGGGAAACCGGGGCUAAUGCCGGAUAACAUUUAGAACCGCAUGGUUCUAAAGUGAAAGAUGGUUUUGCUAUCACUUAUAGAUGGACCCGCGCCGUAUUAGCUAGUUGGUAAGGUAACGGCUUACCAAGGCAACGAUACGUAGCCGACCUGAGAGGGUGAUCGGCCACACUGGAACUGAGACACGGUCCAGACUCCUACGGGAGGCAGCAGUAGGGAAUCUUCCGCAAUGGGCGAAAGCCUGACGGAGCAACGCCGCGUGAGUGAUGAAGGUCUUCGGAUCGUAAAACUCUGUUAUUAGGGAAGAACAAAUGUGUAAGUAACUGUGCACGUCUUGACGGUACCUAAUCAGAAAGCCACGGCUAACUACGUG
rnacentral:rRNA from 1 species